GUUCUUUCACAAUUAAUUCACACUUUUCACUUUUACAAAUUCUAUUAUCCGGCAGAAUAAUUUUGAUGAAAAUAAACUGGAAAAAUUCAAAUAAUGUUAGGUGGUGGAUUUCUGGUCAAAAUAGUGGGAUUUGGUGAGCUACACUGGCAAAACUAGAAUUGAAAUGGACUGAAAAAUUAAAAUGGAAUAGGCGGCUUACUCAGACCUCCCUUAAAAGAUUCCAUGACAAUACGACCAAUGGUCGGAAGCCAAAAUUGUCGCAGGACCGAAUGGAAACUCUAGGGCUUAACGGCGGGCACCCAGAGUGUAGAACCUUGACGGCAGCUUGUGACUAAGGCUUUUUCCCAAAACGUAAGUAUGUACGAAUUAGUUCGUGUUUCAGCUUUUUAAUUAUAUUCCUCGGUCAGAAUGUAAAUAAUAAUUUUCUUGCUUUCAAUUCCAGAUGAGGACGAACAAAGGAAUGUAGGUCGAUACCACAUUAAAUCGACGAUCUAAACAAUGCCUGGUAACCUAACCUUGAAUUGAGCUCAGUUCAAUGUCGCGUACCUGCAUACCAACACAAAGAAAAACCGCGGAAUUUAAUUAUGUAGCUUAGUCGUCCGUCUGUCUGUCCGGAGUUAAAUAAGUUUCAGUGUCAAUUGGGAAUGAUACCAAGCCACGCUGGAGCAGCAAUGGCGUAAACUCUGCGCCUCCCUCGAUGGAUUGGAUGGGCGAUGGUGUGGCUUGUAGGCUCCAAUUCUUCAUGAAUUUUUAGGUUUAAGAUUUAUAUUCAUUGCUUUAGAAUUUUAGUCAAUUGUUUGGGUUUUUUUUCAAUAUUGUUAAAUUGUUUUCAAACUUUGUUUAAUUUUAAAAAAAGGUUCAAUUUUCUUUUAAUUUUCAAUUUUUUGAAAACUAUUUGUUUUGUUAUAAAUUUCCUUUCAAUUUUUAGCCUUUUUUUUCGUUUAAUGUUGCUUAAUUAUUUAAAGGCUUCAGAUUUUCUUUAAAAUAGUUUGUAUUUUGUGUUGUUUGUGUAUGUGUUUCAACAAAUAAACCAGAUGAAUUCACUUCUCAAAAACUUUGGUUGUUUUUUUUUCUUCGACGGUUACAGGGAGCCACGCAUCCAAUCUUCUUCGCAGGCAAAAUCAAAAAGGGCAGAUUUUUCUUACAAUUUUUGCCAGGAAAUUCUGGCUGCCAUUUUCCUCGUUUAAUUUUUCCAUUUUCUUCUUAUAUUAUUCCCUAAUAUUGACAUUUAAGUAAUUGGAAUAAUCAGCUGUUUCCUAGUAAUUGUUCUUCUUCUUCUUCGAGCUAUCAAUUAUUUUCAG